GUGAUCCACCCGUCUCGGCCUCCCAAAGUGCUGGGAUUACAGGCGUGAGCUACCACGCUCGGCGUGUAGCUCGUGUUAUUAACGGACAAGCAAACGCCCCUGCCCGUACACGUUCCUGAGGGAUAACAGUAAGUUACAAAAGUGCUUCUGCUCUACUCCUGGAAGCAAGGUCGGAGUGCCCGCGGGCGUGGGCGCGGUGGAAAAGAGGGAGAACCCAGGCCUCCGUAACCAUGGCUGCGAGGGGCGGGGACUGGGAGCGCGGGUCCCGGGCCGGGGUGCGGGCUGGGAGGACUCGGUCCUCCACUGUCCCAGCGGGCCACGCGCCCGCGUGUCGCCUCCCGUCCCGCUAGCAGCACGCUGCGUGGCUGCUUGUUGGCUGCUUAAGACGGAAGCUCGGUUGAUGUUUCUGCAGAAGUUUCCCCCUUGGGCGGUGGCGGAGCUGAAGAGCGCGAUAGAAGCAGCUCCGGCCGCAGCAACAGUGACUACGAGGGAUGGCGGCGGCUGCCGCAGGACCUGCAGCAUCCCAGAGGUUUUUCCAGAGCUUCUCAGAUGCUCUAAUCGACCAGGACCCCCAGGCGGCGUUAGAGAAAUGAAAAAUUUGUUUAUGGAUACAUUUACACUAUUAUCUAUUUUAAUUUCAACGACUGAAUUAAAAGGUGUCAAGAAGCUCAGAAUGAAUAGAUAUGUUGGAUAUUUUGCACAAGUGAAACAUCUCUACAACUGGAAUCUCCCUCCAAGAAGGAUACUCUUUAUAAAAGGAUUCAUUAUUUAUUCGAUUCAUGGUGUUGGAGCAGGUGAUGGAUCUGAUCUAAAAGUCAAAAUAGUAAUAGAGAAAAAGGUUGUCUUUUCCUGUACUUAUUUGAGAAAUUGUUAGGUAUUUCAUGACACUGAAAUAGUGCAAUAAUUGAUGUAUUCAACAGUCCACCUCUUUAUGAUGAUGUGAAAGUGCAAUUUUUCUCUUUGCUCUUGGAUCAUUUUACUGGAAUCCUUGGAUUAGUUUUCAACUUUCUUCUGAAUAUUGAUGAGCCUCCCUGGCAUCCAGAUCCUGUAUUCUACAUCUGUCAUUUCAGCCAUUUCCAACUGGUUAAGAACCACUGCUAGGGAGCUAGUGGACUCACCUGGAGGGAGCCUCCCCUUGCUCUGCACCAAUCCCAGGUGGACGGCUGUCCUUCCUUACUCCCCUAUGCUCUCCAUGACUCACCACUGCUUCCUUGAUGAAUCCCAACACAGCCUGCUGGAUGAUCAACCUGAAGAGCUCGUUUUCACUCACCACUCUGUCUCCUCUUGUGAGAGCUGCGCACAUUAGCUGCUUCUAGUCAGCCAUCUUGGCACUUCAGAUACUUGUUUUCUUAAGUAGAAUUUAGUAACUUGGAAUGGAAUCAUCCAAAAUUUAAGAGCAGACAGUUUAACUGUUUUUUAAAAUAGAGGGAAAGAGGUGGAGGGAGAAAGUAAUUCUAGUAAGCCAAGUUCCGUAACUUCAGAGCAUAGAAAUGUUUUUGUCACCUUACCUAUAAAGAAAUUAUUUUACAUCAGGUGUCUUGCUGACAGAAAACAAUGCUUGUUGCAAUAAAACCACUGCCUUGAAACACUACUAUACAUAACUCUUUAACAUUCCUGACAGUUGUUUCCCAACAGGGAUGUAAAGAACUUCAAUGAAAUUCAUCAGACUCAAAUAUUAAGUAAAUAAUUUAAUGAUAGAACACUGAAAUUUCUUUAGACACAGAAUUUUCAAGUUAUAUUUCUGCCUGGAGUACAGAUAUGAAAUAGCACAAACUACUCUGAAUUAAGCAAACAGAAUGAAUAAAAAAAAAAUUCUCCAAAUCUAAGCUUCCAUUCCUCACUCCCACUUGCCUCAGACUCUUUCUAUUGAAGAUAUCUAGUUAAAUCUCUAAUGGACGGCCUGUGGGAAGAUUUACUGCCAACAGGGACGACUGACUUGUUUCCGGGCACUGAGCAGGGGACUGUGGGCUCUGAAGCAGUUUACUUCCUGUGGAAAGCCAGUCCCGUUUCUAUUUUACUUCAAUCCAGGCCUAUUCAGAUAAAGCACCACUCAGUAGCUACUGACCAUUUAAGUACGGAGAGAAAAGCAAAGUAGAAAAAUGGUUUUCACUUAAAGAAAAAGCAAAUGGAAGACCAGCCAUAAAAGCUCCACGGCACAAGAGACAUGACAGGGAUCUCCUCCCCAGAUGUCCCCUGCUGUUUGUCAGCCUCUCAUAUCCCUGGCCCUCUGGCUUCUGGCUCUAUGACUACAGUUGCCACAGAGGAUUCAUGGACAGCAAAAAGCUUAAGGAACCUGGAGGUUUUGUACAACAUGUACAUUCUGCUGACAGAAACACAUACAUGGUAUGGACUAUUAUUAAAAUUGUUAGCCUGCUUGCACUCAGUAUACAGGCUGCUUAGGAACACUUUAUUGGGAGAUACCCUGCUGGUUUUGGAGCAGCACAAAAUGAUGAGGAUAACUUUAGUAGUGACAAGAAUGACCCUCUUAUACCAUAUGGCCAAAGAACAGCUGUCCAUCCCCAAGUCUAUGGGGGAUCAGAUGAAGUGUGGAGUUUGGUUGGUUGGUCAGUGAAUUUUUGGUCAGUGAAUACAUACAUAUGGCAUAGUUAAGUACAAUUGCUUUUCUUUUUUCUUUUUUUUUUAUUUUGAGACUAAGUCUCGCUGUGUCACCCAGGCUGGAGUGCAGUGGCGCAAUCUCAGUUCACUGCAACCUCUGCCUCCCGGGUUCAAGCGAUUCUCCUGCCUCAGCCUCCUGAGUAGCUGGGAUUACAGGCGUGUGCCACCACGCCCAGCUAACUUUUUUAUUUUUAGUAGAGAUGGGGUUUCGCCAUGUUGGUCAGGCUGUUCUCGAACUCCUGACCUUGUGAUCCGCCUGCCUCAGCCUCCCAAAGUGCUGGGAUUAUAGGCAUGAGCCACCGCGCCUGGCCUACAAUUGCUUUUCUUAUGUUCCAUUGCUUUAUAAGCUCAUAUCCCAUAUGCAGUCAUCAUUAAGACUUACUGACUGCCAGUACCAAAUGUAGAAGCCUCCAACACUGUAAAAGCAUGGCAAGACAGGCUUCAGGAUGGGCCAGACCUGACAUUACUCACUGUGGAGUACAAGCACUGAGUUCUUUCUAGUUCUCUCUGAGAGAGGAUUUCGCCCACUGUCACAUAAUCACCAAACAGGGAAGAAGGCUUCUCUUGGCUUUGGCUCUCACUGUUCCUUGGAAGGGUUUCUGAUUGGUGGAGGCAGAGCAGACAGUGAGUGGUCCAAAGUGGAUUGAUGGCCCCAAAUGAGCCAACAGAACACCCAGGAAUCCUACCCAGGCCAGGACCCACAGACAAAAGGUAAGAGCUGUUGCCAGCCACAUGGGUCUUCAUCAAAGCACAGCAGCACUGCCUACCACUCAGCCCCUUCCUCAAUCUAAAGCUCAAGAAGGGAAGUUCUUUGGGAGAGAAGGGAAGCUGGUAAAGGCCAUGCUAUUUCCCAAAGGCCUGACCCUCUGGGCCACCCCUAGCAAUAUAGUCAGUGUGGAAUAUGAUCCCACCUAGAAAAUGAAUGGCACUAUUUUAAGAGUAGAGCAUCUUGGGGAAAUCUAGGAUGCCUACUCUGAAGCUUUUACUCAAGUGUGGAAGCCACACCAGUAUGCAGGUAUACUGUCUUACAAAUCUAGAAGGAUAUUUUAGUUUUCCAGCACCCAUGAACACUUUUUUAAAAAUUCAACCACUGGCUGGGCAUGGUGGCUCAU